rnacentral:lncRNA from 1 species
GUGCUGAACCACGUUAUAUCUUUGUGUCCUUUUUAUCUUUUUCUAUUCUUCUCAUUUCUUCUACUAUUAUUAUUGCUCGAUACUAACAACUGGUAUCAAGAGUUUUUGGUUAUUCCAAGGGAAUUCCUUAGUUUAGAGGAAUUAGUGGGAGUCUUCUAAGUUUAGAGGAGAUAGUCGAGCAAUGGCGUUAGAAGAAGGGAAGGUGAAGAUUGAGAGGUUUGAUG